CCCGACCCUAGGCUCUGAAUAGGCUCUUAUUUAGCCCAAGUCCCAUGCAGCCACACCGCAAUCCCAAAUCCACAGGUGUUUUCAGGAAAGAUCACUGGAGGCUCUCUCGAGAUCCUGCACCUGGACACAAGGCUAAAUGGAAAACAGUCAUGUAUUACUGGGCUUCGCAUCUUUUGAUCCCCUCACUUCCUAACACCGGGACCUACUGGAAUUCAGUGCUCAAAAAGUCUUCAUUAUCAGCAUAACAUGCAGGGGUGUCCCCCUUUUGCUGAGUCAGCAAUAACAAAUACCGAGUCAUGAUGACAUCUUGCCUUUCCUCCCUAUGGAGGUGAGUGACCCACAGCUCUCCUGGUUCAUCCUAGGAAGCACUGGCCGGUCUAAAGCAGUGGUCUAUAUACAUGACUCUUCAGGUGAAUCUUAGGAGCUGAUAAUCAGCCAAAAGCUGGAAUGGCUGACCUAAAGAAAUGAGGUAACGAAGGCAUCUGUAACUUGGAGUGGGAAAAAGAGAGUUUCUCCUAAGUUGUAUUCCUUGGUGUCUUCUGGAGCAUGGAGCUCAAGCCAGCAAGAAGGAAAUAGAGAUCCUCAGACAUCCUUCUGGAAACUCUGAUUCCAUAACUGCAAGGUGUCUAAGGUAAUUGGGACUCUCACCUCUCCAGUGGGAGGGUACACACAGAGAAACAUCUGUUUAGGGAGCAACUAUCAUUCUGGCAAGUAUUGACCUUGUCACAAGCAACACUCUGAAGAAGACAUUAUCAAUAUUCAGAUUUUACCCAUGAGCCAGCAGAGGGGCCCAGAUGUAAAGUCAAUUGCCCACAGUC